rnacentral:rRNA from 1 species
AUGAACGCUAGCGGCAGGCUUAACACAUGCAAGUCGAGGGGUAUAGUAGCAAUACUAGAGACCGGCGCACGGGUGCGUAACGCGUAUGCAAUCUACCUUUUACAGAGGGAUAGCCCAGAGAAAUUUGGAUUAAUACCUCAUAGUAUAUAUGAGUGGCAUCACUUAUAUAUUAAAGUCACAACGGUAAAAGAUGAGCAUGCGUCCCAUUAGCUAGAUGGUAAGGUAACGGCUUACCAUGGCAACGAUGGGUAGGGGUCCUGAGAGGGAGAUCCCCCACACUGGUACUGAGACACGGACCAGACUCCUACGGGAGGCAGCAGUGAGGAAUAUUGGUCAAUGGGCGCAAGCCUGAACCAGCCAUGCCGCGUGCAGGAUGACGGUCCUAUGGAUUGUAAACUGCUUUUGUACAGGAAGAAACACUCCCUCGUGAGGGAGCUUGACGGUACUGUAAGAAUAAGGAUCGGCUAACUCCGU